ACACGGAGGAGGAGAGGAGAAAGUGAGUUGGUGAUCAAGUUGAACCCAUCUCAACGAAUUGGAUUGGGUUGGAAUAUGUGGGAAAACUUGUUGGUUGGUUUAGGUUGAGUUGUCAGAUUUGUUCUUUAAGUUGGACGGGGUUGAGUUUCCAUAGAUGUAUUAUGUGGAUUGGGUCGGAUUUUAUCCCACUAGCAGACCUAGUUGAUUUUAACCCAUUAGUUUUAGAAUUCCUAACUGAACCUCGUCUCUUAAAACAUCGCCGAUCCUUACACAGCGCUAGUAUUAUCUUGAAGCAGGUAGCUAGCAGUUUGGCACGUCUCUGCUAAUUGGGCUGGAUGAAAGCAGCAGCUAGUUCCUAGCUGCUGCCUGCCUGCCGGUGGGAUACUAGUUAGUUGGUUGGUUAGAUCACAGUAGUAUAGUACAGUAUAUGGAUUAUGGAGUAGAUUUGAUGUGUUUGUUGGUAAUCUUUGUGUUGGUUUGGUGAAGUCUGCUGUAAUCUGCUGGCGCUCGCAAUUUGUCUCGAAUACGGAGGAGGGGACUUUUCAUUGACCCUGCGUGCCGUGCCGAGAGAGAGAGAGAGAGAGAGAGAGAGAGAGAGAGGCAUGGCGCGCGUCUCGAAUGCCAAGAAGCGCCCCCCGCCCGCCGACGGCAGCUUCGAUCUCUUCCACUCGGGCCACGCCCGCGCCCUCGAGCAGGCCAAGAAGCUGUUCCCCAACACCUAUCUGCUCGUCGGAUGCUGCAACGACCACCUCACCUACCGCUACAAGGGCAAGACCGUCAUGACCCAGGAUGAGCGAUACGAGUCCCUGCGCCACUGCAAGUGGGUCGAUGAGGUCAUUCCUGAUGCUCCGUGGGUUCUCACUCAAGAGUUCAUUGAUAAGCAUCAGAUUGACUAUGCUGUUCAUGAUGCUCUACCUUAUGCAGAUACUAGUGGAGCUGCAAAUGACGUCUAUGAAUUUUGCAUUGGGUCAAAAAGAUUGGAAAAUUCAAGGAAACAAAGAGGACAGACGGGGUAUCUACUUCAGACCUCAUAAUGCGGAUUUUGAAGGACUACAAUCAGUAUGUCAUGAGGAAUUUAGCACGAGGAAGGAUCUAGGCGUGAGCUCUGUUAAAGGAGAAACAACUCCAAGUUAAUAUGAAGAUAAAUAAACUGUGAGAGACUGAAGGCGCAUCAAGAAAAGGUUUCCCUGCCUGUUGUUUUAAGAUUGAUUCAUGCAUGCCCCGUGCAGCCGCCUCGCGCCGCCUCGCCCCUCGCGUCGUGCAGCCCUCGCCGGCCCCUAUUUAAAGGGAUGCACAGUGCACGGUUUCGUCCCCAUUCACACCUCCACUUCUCCCUCCAAGCACCUUCGCCGCCUCCCUUCGAACACCGUCGCCGCCGCCGGUGAGCUUCC